UGGGGAAUAUUGCACAAUGGGGGAAACCCUGAUGCAGCGACGCCGCGUGAACGAAGAAGGUAUUCGUAUCGUAAAGUUCUGUCCUAUGGGAAGAUAAUGACAGUACCAUAGAAGAAAGCUCCGGCUAAAUACGUGCCAGCAGCCGCGGUAAUACGUAUGGAGCGAGCGUUGUCCGGAAUUAUUGGGCGUAAAGGGUACGCAGGCGGUUUAAUAAGUCGAAUGUUAAAGAUCGGGGGUCAACCCCGCAAAGCAUUGGAAACUGAUAAACUUGAGUAGUGGAGAGGAAAGUGGAAUUCCUAGUGUAGUGGUGAAAUACGUAGAUAUUAGGAGGAAUACCAGUAGCGAAGGCGACUUUCUGGACACAAACUGACGCUGAGGUACGAAAGCGUGGGGAGCAAACAGG
rnacentral:rRNA from 1 species